GCCCGAGGCCUUAGAUCAGAGUGUCGGACAUGGGCGUUGGCGUACAACUCGCCUGUUUCGUAUUUUGUUUUAUGUUUGUUUAAGGGAGCCUUCCUGUAAUCCCAAAGGAAGAGCAGCGAGUGCCGUCCCCGGCCCGGCCUCUGCUCGCCUCUGUGUGUGGGAACCCUGCCUGCGGCGCGGCCUGUCCCGGGCCCUGAGCCGCUCUUAUUCCGAGGGCCCGCCCUCCGCCAGCGGCCGGGCCUCACGCGGGGCUGUUUGUAAGCUUUUCUAUUAUUGUUAUUUUUUUAUCAUCAUUAUUAAAGGCCUGACUUUCUCCUCUCAUCCCCGCGAGAUUACAGAUCUAUUUGAAUGCGAUGUAACAUUGACAGAGUCCUGCAGGAAUCGGAAGCAUUUUUUUUAAUGUUCUUCCUUGUCACAUCCCAGCCUCUGUUGCUUUAAUUUGCAGUCAGUCUCAUUCGAAUUUGGUUAAGAAAUGCUCUUCGCACGUGGCGGGCCUUGGAAUAAAGGCAGCUUGGCCACAGAGAUCCCUCGUGCUUAAUGCCUCUUUCCUCAGCCAAGAGCUCCUCGUGAGGAAUUAGUUGGAGCUCCAGGGGCUGCAUUUCCAAGCUGGGAAAGUUUUGCUGCAAGAUUUGACGGCGGAUUUCUAGAAGUGUCCUAGAUGACAUCUCCAAGAUGAAGGUCAGCAUAGCCGUCCAGCUUUUCGCCAGCAAUGCUGAUUUUUAAUUAUCUUUCAGAUAGAAAGGGAGCAAGACCUCAAAGCAUAGAGCCCGCGCCUCUUACCCCAGGCUGCUUGCAACAACUUCAAGGUCCCUGAAGAAGCCAGAGCUUAAACCACCUGCAGAGCGAGAUAAGUUUGGGGAUCCAAGUCUUACCCUUCUGCUCUUGAGGCCGAGGAAAGGAGAGCCUGAUGGAGCAGUCAGCCUGGUAGAAUUUCCUCCUCUCCUAUUACCCGUUUCUAAGUUCCCCUUAACCAGCCUUUAGCCAGAACCAGAGAAAAGAAGUCUCCCUGAAAAUUGAAGUUUCUCAUGAAACAUCCGUGUCAGCUGUGUUGUAAUCUUUUGUUGCAAGGAAAACAAAGACAUAGAAGUUUCCACGAAGAAUGAACUUGGAAAUCAGAUUCUGAGUGAGGUCGUGCUUCCUCAGUGUCUUGAGUGAAGGGGUGAAGAGGUCUAUCUAGCGGCUUGCUCCCCAAGUAGGGGCCGAUUCCAGCCACGCUCUGCUCUCUGACCCUCACCGGCAUGCUUCAGCAGCUGAGGGUUCUCGGAUCGGUAGGAAUGAGGGCAGUGGACUCACUUGUGCCCUGUAACUAACCAAUGGCCUGCCGUGGGAGAGGACGACCAGCCAUCAAGUCAGCCAGUGAGGGCGGCACCCACUAAUCAGCCCACCAACCCGCUUGGCUUGGGUUUUAAACUUCCUUGUAAAAAAGAUUUUUUCCUCAUUUUCUGGAUUUUUUGUGCACUUUUCUAAAUGAUGAACUCUUUAUUAUCCUGAGGCAAUGAAAAGUACAGCAUUGGAACCCCCGUCUCUGGACCAGCUGAUCCCACAUUCCAUCGACAGUAUUCAGGAAUAUCGAUAAGCUAGAAGGUUGAAAAUAACAUCUAGCCCUCUCUUUGCUCCAGUGAGGGUGGACGAGGGUGAUAGUGUUUACCUUGCA